rnacentral:rRNA from 1 species
GACGAACGCUGACAGAAUGCUUAACACAUCAGCAAUUGAUUGGUGGCGGACGGGUGAGUAACGCGUAAAGAACUUGCCUCACAUCUAGGGACAACAUUUGGAAACGAAUGCUAAUACCUAAUACUGUGAGAGAGCUUUGCGUCCCAUUAGCUAGUUGGAGAGGUAACGGCUCACCACGGCGAUGAUGGGUAGCCGGCCUGAGAGGGUGAUCGGCUACAAGGGGACUGAGACACGCCCCUUACUCCUACGGGGGGCAGCAGUAGCGAAUAUUGGACAAAGGACCAAAGUCUGAUCGAGCAAUUAUGUGUGCACGAUUAAGUUUUCGGAAUGUAAAGUGCUUGCAGUUGGGAAGCGGUACCAACAGGAGAAGUGACUGCUAAAUACGUGCCAGCCGCCGCGGUAAUUC